rnacentral:rRNA from 1 species
GACGAACGCUGGCGGCGUGCCUAAUACAUGCAAGUCGAACGAACCGCGACUAGGUGCUUGCACUUGGUCAAGGUGAGUGGCGAACGGGUGAGUAACACGUGGGUAACCUACCUCAUAGUGGGGGAUAACAGUCGGAAACGACUGCUAAUACCGCAUAGGACAUAGGAUCACAUGAUCCAGUGAGGAAAGGUGGCGCAAGCUAUCGCUAAGAGAUGGACCCGCGGUGCAUUAGCUAGUUGGUAGGGUAAAGGCCUACCAAGGCGAUGAUGCAUAGCCGACCUGAGAGGGUGAUCGGCCACAUUGGGACUGAGACACGGCCCAAACUCCUACGGGAGGCAGCAGUAGGGAAUCUUCCGCAAUGGACGCAAGUCUGACGGAGCAACGCCGCGUGAGUGAAGAAGGUCUUCGGAUCGUAAAGUUCUGUUGUUAGAGAAGAACAGCGCAUAGAGUAACUGUUAUGCGUGUGACGGUAUCUAACCAGAAAGCCACGGCUAACUACGUG